rnacentral:rRNA from 1 species
GAUGAACGCUGGCGGCGUGCCUAAUACAUGCAAGUCGAGCGAAUGGAUUAAGAGCUUGCUCUUAUGAAGUUAGCGGCGGACGGGUGAGUAACACGUGGGUAACCUGCCCAUAAGACUGGGAUAACUCCGGGAAACCGGGGCUAAUACCGGAUAACAUUUUGAACCGCAUGGUUCGAAAUUGAAAGGCGACUUCGGCUGUCACUUAUGGAUGGACCCGCGUCGCAUUAGCUAGUUGGUGAGGUAACGGCUCACCAAGGCAACGAUGCGUAGCCGACCUGAGAGAGUGAUCGGCCACACUGGGACUGAGACACGGCCCAGACUCCUACGGGAGGUAGCAGUAGGGAAUCUUCCGCAAUGGACGAAAGUCUGACGGAGCAACGCCGCGUGAGUGAUGAAGGCUUUCGGGUCGUAAAACUCUGUUGUUAGGGAAGAACAAGUGCUAGUUGAAUAAGCUGGCACCUUGACGGUACCUAACCAGAAAGCCACGGCUAACUACGUGCCAGCCGCCGCGGUAA